GGCCCCUUGUAUGAUGAACGAUUUUGGCAGAAGAGCUCUUGAAGACUAUAUUCAUCACCCAAGACUGAAGAAACUG
rfam:Drosophila virilis strain TSC#15010-1051.87 Ctg01_14022, whole genome shotgun sequence.